GGCGGUAUGCUUAACACAUGCAAGUCGAACGGAAUCCUUAGGGAUUUAGUGGCGGACGGGUGAGUAACGCGUGAGAAUCUGGCUUCAGGUCGGGGACAACAGUUGGAAACGACUGCUAAUACCGGAUAUGCCGAGAGGUGAAAGAUUAAUUGCCUGGAGAUGAGCUCGCGUCUGAUUAGCUAGUUGGUGGGGUAAGAGCCUACCAAGGCGACGAUCAGUAGCUGGUCUGAGAGGAUGAUCAGCCACACUGGGACUGAGACACGGCCCAGACUCCUACGGGAGGCAGCAGUGGGGAAUUUUCCGCAAUGGGCGAAAGCCUGACGGAGCAAUACCGCGUGAGGGAGGAAGGCUCUUGGGUCGUAAACCUCUUUUCUCAGGGAAGAAAAAAAUGACGGUACCUGAGGAAUAAGCAUCGGCUAACUCCGUGCCAGCAGCCGCGGUAAUACGGAGGAUGCAAGCGUUAUCCGGAAUGAUUGGGCGUAAAGCGUCCGCAGGUGGCCAUGUAAGUCUGCUGUUAAAGAGUCAUGCUCAACAUGAUAAAAGCAGUGGAAACUACACGGCUAGAGUACGUUCGGGGCAGAGGGAAUUCCUGGUGUAGCGGUGAAAUGCGUAGAUAUCAGGAAGAACACCGGUGGCGAAAGCGCUCUGCUAGGCCGUAACUGACACUGAGGGACGAAAGCUAGGGGAGCGAAUGGGAUUAGAUACCCCAGUAGUCCUAGCCGUAAACGAUGGAUACUAGGCGUGGCUUGUAUCGACCCGAGCCGUGCCGUAGCUAACGCGUUAAGUAUCCCGCCUGGGGAGUACGCACGCAAGUGUGAAACUCAAAGGAAUUGACGGGGGCCCGCACAAGCGGUGGAGUAUGUGGUUUAAUUCGAUGCAACGCGAAGAACCUUACCAAGGCUUGACAUGU
rnacentral:rRNA from 1 species